rnacentral:ncRNA from 2 species
AUAAGUCCGGCCCCGAACUCUCUGUGCUCUUCCGCCAAGUUGAAAACAGAGAUUCGGGGUUUGUCUUUU